rnacentral:rRNA from 1 species
GACGAACGCUGGCGGCGUGCUUAACACAUGCAAGUCGAACGGAAAGGCCCUGCUUUUGUGGGGUGCUCGAGUGGCGAACGGGUGAGUAACACGUGAGUAACCUGCCCUUGACUUUGGGAUAACUUCAGGAAACUGGGGCUAAUACCGGAUAGGAGCUCCUGCUGCAUGGUGGGGGUUGGAAAGUUUCGGCGGUUGGGGAUGGACUCGCGGAUUAUCAGCUUGUUGGUGGGGUAGUGGCUUACCAAGGCUUUGACGGGUAGCCGGCCUGAGAGGGUGACCGGCCACAUUGGGACUGAGAUACGGCCCAGAAUCCUACGGGAGGCAGCAGUGGGGAAUAUUGCACAAUGGGCGGAAGCCUGAUGCAGCAACGCCGCGUGCGGGAUGACGGCCUUCGGGUUGUAAACCGCUUUCGCCUGUGACGAAGCGUGAGUGACGGUAAUGGGUAAAGAAGCACCGGCUAACUACGUG